rnacentral:sRNA from 1 species
AGCCCACUAUUAUGAAAUAGUUAAGCCCAUACGGACAGGCGGGCUGCUGCCGG